UAUUUUGAUGGGGAUUGCAUUGAAUCUGUAGAUCACUUUUGGUAAAAUGGCCAUUUUUACUAUAUUAAUCCUGCCAAUCCAUGAGCAUGGGAGAUCUUUCCAUCUUCUGAGAUCCUCUUCAAUUUCUUUCUUCAGAGGCUUGAAGUUCUUAUCAUACAGAUCUUUUAUUUGCUUGGUUAAAGUCACACUGAGGUAUUUUAUAUUAUUUGGGACUAUUAUGAAGGGUGUCAUUUCCCUAAUUUCUUUCUUGGCUUGUUUCUCUUUUGUGUAGAGGAAGGCAACUGAUUUAUUUGAGUUAAUUUUAUACCCAGACACUUUGCUGAAGUUGUUUAUCAGCUUUAGUAGUUCUCUGGUGGAACUUUUGGGAUCACUUAAAUAUACUAUCAUAUCAUCUGCAAAUAGUGAUAUUUUGACUUCUUCUUUUCCAAUCUGUAUCCCCUUGAUCUCCUUUUGUUGUCUGAUUGCUCUGGCUAGAACUUCAAGAACUAUAUUGAAUAAGUAGGGAGAAAGUGGGCAGCCUUGUCUAGUCCCUGAUUUUAGUGGAAUUGCUUCAAGUUUCUCUCCAUUUAGUUUAAUGUUAGCUACUGGUUUGCUGUAUAUGGCUUUUACUAUGUUUAGAUAUGGGCCUUGAAUUCCUAUUCUGUCCAGGACUUUUAUCAUGAAGGGGUGUUGAAUUUUGUCAAAUGCUUUC
rnacentral:lncRNA from 1 species